GCCUGGCUGGCUCAGUUGGUAGAGUAUGUGAUUCUUGAUCUCAGGGUUGUGAGUUUGAGCCCCAAGUUGGGUG
rnacentral:tRNA from 1 species